rnacentral:rRNA from 1 species
CCUACGGGAGGCAGCAGUAGGGAAUCUUCCACAAUGGACGAAAGUCUGAUGGAGCAACGCCGCGUGAGUGAAGAAGGGCUUCGGCUCGUAAAGCUCCGUUGGUAGUGAAGAAAGAUAGAGGUAGUAACUGGCCUUUAUUUGACGGUAAUUACUUAGAAAGUCACGGCUAACUACGUGCCAGCAGCCGCGGUAAUACGUAGGUGGCAAGCGUUGUCCGGAUUUAUUGGGCGUAAAGCGAGUGCAGGCGGUUCAAUAAGUCUGAUGUGAAAGCCUUCGGCUCAACCGGAGAAUUGCAUCAGAAACUGGUAGACUUGAGUGCAGAAGAGGAGAGUGGAACUCCAUGUGUAGCGGUGGAAUGCGUAGAUAUAUGGAAGAACACCAGUGGCGAAGGCGGCUCUCUGGUCUGCAACUGACGCUGAGGCUCGAAAGCAUGGGUAGCGAACAGGAUUAGAUACCCCUGUAGUC